GUGGGGAAUAUUGGACAAUGGGCGAAAGCCUGAUCCAGCCAUGCCGCGUGUGUGAAGAAGGUCUUCGGAUUGUAAAGCACUUUAAGUUGGGAGGAAGGGCAUUAACCUAAUACGUUAGUGUUUUGACGUUACCGACAGAAUAAGCACCGGCUAACUUCGUGCCAGCAGCCGCGGUAAUACGAAGGGUGCAAGCGUUAAUCGGAAUUACUGGGCGUAAAGCGCGCGUAGGUGGUUUUGUAAGUUGGAGGUGAAAUCCCCGGGCUCAACCUGGGAACUGCCUCCAAAACUGCAUGACUAGAGUACGGUAGAGGGUAGUGGAAUUUCCUGUGUAGCGGUGAAAUGCGUAGAUAUAGGAAGGAACACCAGUGGCGAAGGCGACUACCUGGACUGAUACUGACACUGAGGUGCGAAAGCGUGGGGAGCAAACAGGAUUAGAUACCCGUGUAGUCC
rnacentral:rRNA from 1 species